AACGAACGCUGGCGGCAUGCCUAACACAUGCAAGUCGAACGAGACCUUCGGGUCUAGUGGCGCACGGGUGCGUAACGCGUGGGAACCUGCCCUUAGGUUCGGAAUAACUCCCCGAAAGGAGUGCUAAUACCGGAUAAUGUCUUCGGACCAAAGAUUUAUCGCCUUUGGAUGGGCCCGCGUUGGAUUAGCUAGUUGGUAGGGUAAAAGCCUACCAAGGCGACGAUCCAUAGCUGGUCUGUGAGGAUGAUCAGCCACACUGGGACUGAGACACGGCCCAGACUCCUACGGGAGGCAGCAGUGGGGAAUAUUGGACAAUGGGCGAAAGCCUGAUCCAGCAAUGCCGCGUGAGUGAUGAAGGCCUUAGGGUUGUAAAGCUCUUUUACCCGGGAUGAUAAUGACAGUACCGGGAGAAUAAGCUCCGGCUAACUCCGUG
rnacentral:rRNA from 1 species